CCUACGGGUGGCUGCAGUCGAGAAUCAUUCACAAUGGGGGAAACCCUGAUGGUGCGACGCCGCGUGGGGGAAUGAAGGUCUUCGAAUUGUAAACCGCUGUCGUGUGGGAGCAAAUUAAAAAGAGAGUACCACAAGAGGAAGAGACGGCUAACUCUGUGCCAGCAGCCGCGGGAAUACAGAGGUCUCAAGCGUUGUUCGGAAUCAUUGGGCGGAAAGCGUGCGUAGGCUGUUUCGUAAGGCGUGUGUGAAAGGCGCGGGCUCAACCCGCGGACGGCACAUGAUACUGCGCGACUAGAGAAAGGGAGGGGUAGCCGGAAUUUUUGGUGUAGCAGUGAAAUGCGUAGAGAUC
rnacentral:rRNA from 1 species